AUGAUAUAACAAAUCAGCCAAAACCUCAGUGACUCAUGAUAACAAGCAUCUUAUUCACUCUUUCAGGAAACUGCAAGUUGGUUGAGAUAUUUUUGCUUCACUCUGCAGAGGCCGCAAACUACUAAAAACAGAGAAUCUUAUCCUACAAAGCAAGAAUCAUCUCCCUACAUUUUCCUUCCCAGGAUGAUCUCUAUCUAUCUAUGUAUCUAUCUAUCUAUCAUCUGUCUAUGUAUCUAUGUAUCUAUGU
rnacentral:lncRNA from 1 species